CGAACCGGGGGAACUGAAACAUCUAAGUACCCCGAGGAAAAGAAAUCAACCGAGAUUCCCCCAGUAGCGGCGAGCGAACGGGGAGCAGCCCAGAGCCUGAAUCAGUGUGUGUGUUAGUGGAAGCGUCUGGAAAGGCGCGCGAUACAGGGUGACAGCCCCGUACACAAAAAUGCACAUACUGUGAGCUCGAUGAGUAGGGCGGGACACGUGGUAUCCUGUCUGAAUAUGGGGGGACCAUCCUCCAAGGCUAAAUACUCCUGACUGACCGAUAGUGAACCAGUACCGUGAGGGAAAGGCGAAAAGAACCCCGGCGAGGGGAGUGAAAAAGAACCUGAAACCGUGUACGUACAAGCAGUGGGAGCACGCUUAGGCGUGUGACUGCGUACCUUUUGUAUAAUGGGUCAGCGACUUAUAUUCUGUAGCAAGGUUAACCGAAUAGGGGAGCCGAAGGGAAACCGAGUCUUAACUGGGCGUUAAGUUGCAGGGUAUAGACCCGAAACCCGGUGAUCUAGCCAUGGGCAGGUUGAAGGUUGGGUAACACUAACUGGAGGACCGAACCGACUAAUGUUGAAAAAUUAGCGGAUGACUUGUGGCUGGGGGUGAAAGGCCAAUCAAACCGGGAGAUAGCUGGUUCUCCCCGAAAGCUAUUUAGGUAGCGCCUCGUGAAUUCAUCUCCGGGGGUAGAGCACUGUUUCGGCAAGGGGGUCAUCCCGA
rnacentral:rRNA from 1 species